GAGCUCGACGUUGGUAAUAGCAAAGACAAUCCCGAGACAUACGCGUCUCCCGGAUCUGAAAGGUGUGUAUUCAAAAUGAUUGCCUUUGUAAUCGACAGGGCUAUCGAGAAACCUUUCGGGCUUAAAGCUUUGGGGAUCCGACCAAUACUUUGGGUCGCGAUUUAUAGCCCAUGUAUUCACCAUGAUCUUCGUCUCCUCCGGGAUCUCAUACCCCAUAAUCUCGCAUCUCUGUUCGCAUUUCCUCGGCAGCAGCAGCGGCACCGGAGCGUGUAAUCUCAAAGUUUCUUUGAUAAUUAGCUUCAAAUACUUGAGCUCCGGAAUGCUCGGUUCGUCGAUGAAACCGCCUUGCUUGUCGAAAACCUGUCGAACUUCUUCUUGCGCCUUUUCGAGGACUUGUCGAUUUUUCAGCAUCUCCGCCAUCGCCCAAUCCAUGGUUGUCGCUGCCGUCUCACUUACGUCCUGUUUUAUUGGAAAAAGCUCAGAUUAAGGAUUUUGGAAGUUUGCAUUUUA